GCACACAACUAUGGAUAUAAAAUAACAGCUGUGAAGCAAUAAAUUAUGAUUUGAUUCAGGUCCUUCACUUAUGAAAUGAGAACUCAGGAGCUCAAUAACAUAACAUCACUGACUUCCCUGGCCUGAAUUGCUCCCACUUGCUCUAGUAAACAAAUCUGUUGCAUCUUUUCACCCAAUCUUAACCUGGAAACCUAGCUUCACAAACCACAUAUCAGAACCAGCCACUGGAGUUGUAGGGAUAAAUAUGUGCUCUGUAAUGAUGCAUACAAGCAGAACUUCAAGUAAUACACUUUAUCAGAGGCAAGUGAAAAAAAUAAAGAAGGCACAUGAUGUUCUGCAUAUUUAGAAACAUGUGCACUAUGUUCCAAUGCGACUGGAAUAAUCCUAGACACAGCUUCCAUCUUCACACCAUCUUGUCUCCCACCCUUUGUUCCUCCAAAAACCUUUAUAAGAAGUACUGCAUCUUGAAUGUAAUUGGUGCUCAACAAUAUGCAUACAAGGCAGGAGUAAAAGAAUGAAAAAAUAAAUUCCUGUUAGAAAAGCUUUUGUUCUGGAUAUCACUGUUUGCCCUCCAAGUUCCAUCACAUUGCUCCGAACCAUGAGAAGCAGACCUCUGUGGAAUCCAUCAACCAGCCAUGCCCCUUGGCCUCCAGCUGGUGUGGCCAAUGGGAAGCACCACAAGAAAUAUGAAGAUAAGAAAAAAAGUGUAGAGAUGCUUUGCAGACAUUGCUGACCAACUUCUAACAUUGGUUCCCCGAAUUCUGGAAGGACGGCAUGCAGCCUAGGUGUCUGUGUCUCUCACAGUCACAGAUUUGUCAGCUUUCAAGAUCCCAAUUCAUGCGAAUCUAACCCAUUCCUUGGCUGACUAAGUCAUGGGUUUGACACUGGGGAGAUAAAGCAAUUCUGGGGGGGAGAUGAGUUUCUGAAUUUGUUUUAAAUGUAGGAUUUGUAUCAAAUUGUAUUGCUGAUUAAAGGAAAUUUAUAGUUCUUGUUCACAUAUUCAGUCUACUUGGUUUGAAACUAUUUUGAUGUUUUCACUCUUCAGAUAUUAAGGAAAGGACAGACUAGCUACACAGAGUUAACGGAUAAAGGUAAAAACACACCAUAAAAUCUGCAGAGCAAGAAAACACCUAAACUUCAGUCCCUGAAAAACAGAAUAUAGUUCUUAAUUUUCUUUAAAACUUUUCAAAGUUUCUCCUGAAGUCUGCCUAUAGCCAGGCAUCAAAUACACACUUACACUUAUAUAUACAAAUGUACAUCCAUUUAUGUUUGUGCUAAUAAAGGUAUGUUUUACAUAUGCGAAUAUAUGUGGAGACAGACAGGAAAAUAAAUAGGCAGAUGAUAGAUAUUCUCUCACUCACACAUGUUAAUUUUCAGAUAAUUCCCUCUAGACCAGGGAUUUUCAUGGAGCAAAGCAUUUGUCCUGCUGAUGGGGCUGCCUUGGUCUACACUGACAUAUGCGAUGAGCAAAGGACAGUGGCUUUUUUAAUGUAGAAGCCACAAGAGAAUAUGUCAUCUGAUGUGCAAAUUACCUCUCCAGAAGUAUGAUUACUUACAGGCGAGUCCUAAAACACAUGCCCUCUGCCGAUAGCACACCAAAUACAGCCAACCACGGUGCAACUUUGGACACAGAAGGCCUUGCAAUGUUGUAAGUCCCUGUUUCCUACUCAGGCCCAGUAGUCACUCACAUGAGAGAGAGAUUAAAAAAAUGUCCUAAAUCAUCUUCUGCCUUUAUCAAACCAUGGUCUGUGGAGAAGAACUAGGAGAACCCUACUCCACACAGAGAAAAUGAAUGCCAUAUUAUCGGACACCAGGAAAAAGGGCAGGAAUUGAGAUAAAGAUGAUGUUAUUGCCACAUACAGUACAAAUGUAAUUAUUCUGUAUGGAGGAAGGAU
rnacentral:lncRNA from 1 species